CUUGUAGUCAUAUGCUUGUCUCAAAGAUUAAGCCAUGCAUGUCUAAGUAUAAGCAAUUAUACAGCGAAACUGCGAAUGGCUCAUUAUAUAAGUUAUCGUUUAUUUGAUAGUACCUUACUACAUGGAUAACCGUGGUAAUUCUAGAGCUAAUACAUGCUAAAAAUCCCAACUUCGGAAGGGAUGUAUUUAUUAGAUUAAAAACCAAUGCCCUCUGGGCUCUCUGGUGAUUCAUGAUAACUCUUCGAAUCGCAUGGCCUUGCGCUGGCGAUGGUUCAUUCAAAUUUCUUCCCUAUCAACUUUCGAUGUUUGGGUAUUGGCCAAACAUGGUUGCAACGGGUAACGGAGGGUUAGGGCUCGACCCCGGAGAAGGAGCCUGAGAAACGGCUACUACAUCCAAGGAAGGCAGCAGGCGCGCAAAUUACCCAAUCCCGACACGGGGAGGUAGUGACAAUAAAUACUGAUACAGGGCUCUUUCGGGUCUUGUAAUUGGAAUGAGUACAAUUUAAAUCCCUUAACGAGGAACAAUUGGAGGGCAAGUCUGGUGCCAGCAGCCGCGGUAAUUCCAGCUCCAAUAGCGUAUAUUAAAGUUGUUGUGGUUAAAAAGCUCGUAGUUGAACCUUGGGCCUGGCUGGCCGGUCCGCCUCACCGCGUGUACUGGUCCGGCCGGGCCUUUCCCUCUGUGGAACCCCAUGCCCUUCACUGGGCGUGGCGGGGAAACAGGACUUU
rnacentral:rRNA from 1 species